rnacentral:lncRNA from 1 species
ACCCCCCUGCAGUCUGCGGUAGUACGGAGAGCAUGCAGAGAGCAAGGGUUACCUCAAGGCUGCUCCGUGGACCACGCACACAAGUCUAGACCGGUGACCCUGCAGAAGCGCUGCCUUUCAGGGCGAGGCGAGCUGGGUCAGGAGGAGGAGAAAGGUGAGGCGUGCCCUCCUCUCUUUUCAGCGAGGGAGCAGCCCACUGCCACCGGGAGUUCCAUCAAGUUGAAACAUGAAACCCAAAGGGAGAAGGCAUGUUUCUAGGUAAGAUAUUCUUUCUCUAAUUCAAAGAAAAAGGCUUGGACCAGUAGAAGCAGAGGCACUGUGGUGUAGUAUGUCAUGGAUGAGCCACUUGUCAUAAACCCGUAGAUCCGAACUUGUGGUCAUUUGAACAGCACAAGCUCGUGUCUCUGGGUCUCUGGCUCUGUGGUGUGUCAUACAUCCUUGAUGGCAAUAAAACCUUCUUCUAAAAGCA